CCCAGCUCGUCAUGCUAGAGCACUUUUUCAAUGUGCUCCCCAACAAGAAAGCGAUGACGCAUUCGUAUGUCAAUACAUAUCAACUUUCGAUGCCAUUGACUGAGCCUAGCAUGGUGACCACAGGUAACGGGGAAUCAGGGUUCGAUUCCAUACAGGGACCCUGACAAACGGCUACCACAUGCAAGGAAGGCAACAGGCGCGCAAAUGACCGACUCCUGACUCGGGAAGGUAGUGACG